UUAGCCUGUGGCCUAUAGACGGUUCGUAUUUCAAGGAUAAAAGGAACCGCGCAGCAGGACAUCGCGGCAUUGGGCUAUUGAGUACAUUUAAUACCCGCAACCCCCUACCCCCACCCCGCCUGUCAAGGACCUUGAUUUCCAAGGGGGCUAAUCAGUCAAUUUUUCCAGACGGGUAAUGGGAAAAAAAUGCUGUUUCCAGAUUGACCUUACGUCAUAUUUCGUUUGAAGAGAAUUGCAUAUUAUUUUUGUUCUCUCAUGCAGGA